AGAGAUAUAGUAUAUCUAAUAUAUUUGGUUUGGGACUAAAAGAUGCUAUUAUAUAGCUAUCUCUA
rnacentral:tRNA from 1 species